rnacentral:rRNA from 1 species
GAUGAACGCUAGCGGCAGGCCUAAUACAUGCAAGUCGGACGGGAUUCAGGAGCUUGCUUCUGAUGAGAGUGGCGCACGGGUGCGUAACACGUAUGUAACCUACCUUUAUCAGGGGAUAGCCUCUCGAAAGAGAGAUUAAGCCCGCAUAAAAUCACAGCACAGCAUUGUGUAAUGAUCAAAUAUUUAUAGGAUAAAGAUGGGCAUGCGGAACAUUAGCUAGAUGGCGGGGUAACGGCCCACCAUGGCGACGAUGUUUAGGGGAUCUGAGAGGAUGGCCCCCCAACCUGGGAAUGAGACACGGACCAGACCCCUACGGGAGGCAGCAGUAAGGAAUAUGUGUCAAGGGGCGGAAGCCUGAACCCGCCAUGCCGGGGUCAAGAAGACGGCCCUUCGGGUUUGAAACUGCUUUUAUACGGGAAUAAACCCCGAUACGUGUAUUUGGCUGAAUUGACUGUAAGAAUAAGGAUCGGCUAACUCCGU